ACCGUUGGCUUUUGUAAAACUUAUUGACGUCUUUUAUUUACGGAUUUUAAUUAAUUAUAACAAAUUACGAAAAGGAGCGGUUAAUAAUUAAAAAAAAAAAAAACCAAUUAAACAUUUUAACGCGAAAUAAAUACAUCGUUUGAAUCCAUUUCUUUAUUUAAAAUAUAUUUGAUUUUUGCCUUUACUUAGCCUUCAGACGCCAUUGUUUAAGUGACAGUUCUGCGUGAAAGGCUUGUGUAUUCUAAAUUGUAUAUAUGUAUAUCGAUAUAAACUUGGUAUAUUUACUCAAGUUGAACAAAACAUUUGCUGUUGAUUUGCUGACUCACAGAAGAAGAUAUAUCGAAAUAAACUGUUAGAUAGCAGAUUUGUUUAUAUAUUUUUUACGGUUUAAUGUUGUCAGUUGGUUUAAAACCUUAAUCGGACAAUCAUAAUUUUAUAUGAAAUAAAAAUAGAAAAAAAAUGUAUUUUAAAAAAUCAAGUAACGACAAAAACGUGCGAUAACAUUUUAUCUAAAAAUAGCAAUAUCAAAAAACAAAAGACGUUAAAAUGUGUUAAAAAAGAAGUUAAGGUCGUGCAAUAAUGAAAAAGAAGAAAACAAUAUAUUAAUGCGAAUUGCUAUUUUAAAAACGGAAAGCGUUGAAAGUAAACCGUUAAGCUUAUUUAAGAUUUAUAGAGCUUAUGUUAAUUAAGAUUUUCAUGUUAUUCAGAAUAUUUCGUUUAUUUCUUUACUGACGAUCGUCUGGACGGGUGGAGGGAACUGCUGAAAACUUAAGCUUUUCAUAUACCAGUUUAUGCAUUUAAAGAGAAGGAAUAAUAUAAGAACCCAAUCGCUUGUAUAUGAAGUUGAUAUAAUUAAAUUGAAUUCCAGUAUAAAACGUCCAUUUUAAUUAUGGACACAAUAGACUUAGAUAGUCUUGUGGGGAAACUAGCGGAAGAUGUUACGAAAAACGACGUUGCUUUUAGAUGGAAGAAUUUUUCGAACGUUGACGCCCAACUUGAAAACACAUUCGAAGAGGAUGACAAAUUAAGAGAUGUGCUGGAAGUAAUUGUUGCAGCAUUAACCAAUCGGGACUCCAUUGUAAAUCAUACUCUUGAAUUACAAUGCUUGCAACAACAGAAAUUCAAUAAAAUUAUCGAUGAACUUAAAAGAGAGGUGACUACGAACAACUCAUCGUGUCCCGUUUCAUUUGAUUCAGUUUUAUGCUGGCCAAGCACACCAGCCGGUGCUUGGGCUGCGUUGCCUUGCUUUAAGGAAUUUAAAGGUGUACGCUACGAUAAUUCCCAAAAUGCAACACGCUAUUGUCAUUCGAACGGUACAUGGGAUAUUUACACUAACUAUGAUAAAUGUCACAAUGUUAUGCAAUUACCGGAAGUGCCGGAUUUUGCACCAGGUAUCGAAUUGCCAACCUAUAUAUACUGUUGCGGAUACUCUUUAAGUUUAUUAUUUCUAACCUUGGCUCUCAUCGUUUUUCUUUCUUUCAAAGACUUAAAAUGCCUGCGGAAUACAAUACAUGCAAAUUUAUUUUUAACCUACAUUCUCUCAGCGUUGCUGUGGAUAUUGACUUUAUUCCUUCAAGUGAUGACAGAUCAUGCUAGUGAAGCUGGUUGCAUUACGUUGGUCAUGAUGUUCCACUAUUUUAAUUUGACAAAUUUCUUCUGGAUGUUUGUUGAAGGUCUUUACCUUUAUACAUUAGUAGUGCAGACAUUCACUACCGAUAAUUUAGGUGCUUUACAAUAUGCGCUAAUCGGUUGGGGUUGUCCUGCUGUCGUAACAAUUGUUUGGUCGAUAGUUAAAAUCUACACUCCGCACUUAGAGAAUGAAAGUUUUAUUGGGUUAACUAUAGAUUGUUCAUGGAUGCGUGAAUCUCAGGUUGACUGGAUUUUUCAAGGUCCCGCCUCUUUAGUUUUACUACUGAAUUUAAUAUUUCUUGUACGAAUUAUGUGGGUACUCAUAACAAAAUUACGUUCGGCUAACACGUUGGAAACUAGACAAUAUCGGAAAGCAGCUAAAGCUCUCUUGGUACUAAUACCUUUGUUUGGUAUAACUUAUCUGCUGGUCUUGGUUGGUCCUGAGCAAGGCUUAAGUCGUAAUCUAUUCGAAAUCAUCAGAGCGUUUCUAAUAAGCACGCAGGGCUUUUUUGUAUCUUUAUUUUUUUGCUUCCUUAACUCGGAAGUACGGCAGACUUUGCGCCAUCGCUUUGAUAGAUGGAGAGAACAUCGCAAUUUGGGAACUGGAAGUAUGCGAAGAGCACAAAGAUACCAUCCAUCUAAAGAUUAUUCGCAAAGAUCAAGAACUGAAAGUCUACGAUUAACCUCAGCAAGUCCUUCACCACUUAUGAAUGUAGAAUAAAGUCCUUUGUUCUAAUUGUUAUAAUAUCCAAGAUACCCACCGAUUUAGUUGAUAACCGUAGAUGUAUGAGUAUUAUUUAAUAAAGAAUUUAUCACUGAAGAAUAUUACAUCUGUAUGCGUCCUUAGCAGAGUGGACCUUGC